GACAGAGGCCCCAAGCGUUAUGCGGAAUCACUGGGCUUAAAGCGUGUGUAGGCGGCUCGUUAAGUGUCUUGUGAAAUCCCACGGCUCACCCGUGGAACUGCUGGGCAUACUGGCGAUCUUGGGCCAACUAGGGGCAGCCGGAACAAGCGGUGGAGCGGUGAAAUGCGUAGAUAUCGCUUGGAACGCCGAAGGUGAAAACAGGCUGCUGGGGGUGUGCCGACGCUGAGACACGAAAGCCAGGGGAGCAAACGGG
rnacentral:rRNA from 1 species